rnacentral:rRNA from 1 species
UACGGAGGGUGCAAGCGUUAUCCGGAUUUAUUGGGUUUAAAGGGUCCGUAGGCGGAUCUGUAAGUCAGUGGUGAAAUCUCACAGCUUAACUGUGAAACUGCCAUUGAUAUUGCAGGUCUUGAGUGUUAUUGAAGUAGCUGGAAUAAGUAGUGUAGCGGUGAAAUGCAUAGAUAUUACUUAGAACACCAAUUGCGAAGGCAGGUUACUAAGCAACAACUGACGCUGAUGGACGAAAGCGUGGGGAGCGAACAGG